rnacentral:rRNA from 1 species
CUACGGGAGGCAGCAGUGGGGAAUAUUGCACAAUGGGCGAAAGCCUGAUGCAGCAACGCCGCGUGAGUGAUGAAGGCCUUCGGGUCGUAAAACUCUGUCCUCAAGGAAGAUAAUGACGGUACUUGAGGAGGAAGCCCCGGCUAACUACGUGCCAGCAGCCGCGGUAAUACGUAGGGGGCUAGCGUUAUCCGGAUUUACUGGGCGUAAAGGGUGCGUAGGUGGUUUCUUAAGUCAGGAGUGAAAGGCUACGGCUUAACCGUAGUAAGCUCUUGAAACUGGGGAACUUGAGUGCAGGAGAGGAAAGUGGAAUUCCUAGUGUAGCGGUGAAAUGCGUAGAUAUUAGGAGGAACACCAGUAGCGAAGGCGGCUUUCUGGACUGUAACUGACACUGAGGCACGAAAGCGUGGGGAGCAAACAGGAUUAGAUACCCUUGUAGUC